rnacentral:rRNA from 1 species
CCUUGACCUCAAAUCGGGUGAGACUACCCGCUGAACUUAAGCAUAUCAAUAAGCGGAGGAAAAGAAACUAACAAGGAUUCCCCUAGUAACUGCGAGUGAAGCGGGAAAAGCUCAAAUUUAAAAUCUGGUGGCCUCCGGUCAUCCGAGUUGUAAUCUAGAGAAGCGUCUUCCGCGCUGGACCGUGCACAAGUCUCCUGGAAUGGAGCGUCAUAGAGGGUGAGAAUCCCGUCUUUGGCACGGACCCCAGGGCUUCUGUGAUGCGCUCUCGAAGAGUCGAGUUGUUUGGGAAUGCAGCUCAAAAUGGGUGGUGAACUCCAUCUAAAGCUAAAUAUUGGCGAGAGACCGAUAGCGA